rnacentral:rRNA from 1 species
GAUGAACGCUGGCGGCGUGCCUAAUACAUGCAAGUCGAGCGAACGGACGAGAAGCUUGCUUCUCUGAUGUUAGCGGCGGACGGGUGAGUAACACGUGGAUAACCUACCUAUAAGACUGGGAUAACUUCGGGAAACCGGAGCUAAUACCGGAUAAUAUUUUGAACCGCAUGGUUCAAAAGUGAAAGACGGUCUUGCUGUCACUUAUAGAUGGAUCCGGGCUGCAUUAGCUAGUUGGUAAGGUAACGGCUUACCAAGGCAACGAUGCAUAGCCGACCUGAGAGGGGGAUCGGCCACACUGGAACUGAGACACGGUCCAGACUCCUACGGGAGGCAGCAGUAGGGAAUCUUCCGCAAUGGGCGAAAGCCUGACGGAGCAACGCCGCGUGAGUGAUGAAGGUCUUCGGAUCGUAAAACUCUGUUAUUAGGGAAGAACAUAUGUGUAAGUAACUGUGCACAUCUUGACGGUACCUAAUCAGAAAGCCACGGCUAACUACGUG